rnacentral:rRNA from 1 species
AUUGCAGGCUGCAACUCGCCUGCAUGAAGUUGGAAUUGCUAGUAAUCGCGAAUCAGAAUGUCGCGGUGAAUACGUUCCCGGGCCUUGUACACACCGCCCGUCACACCAUGAGAGUCGAUAACACCCGAAGCCUGUGAGCUAACCGUAAGGAGGCAGCAGUCGAAGGUGGGGUUGAUGAUUGGGGUGAAGUCGUAACAAGGUACC